UACGAAGGGGGCUAGCGUUGCUCGGAAUUACUGGGCGUAAAGCGCACGUAGGCGGAUUGUUAAGUCGGGGGUGAAAUCCUGGAGCUCAACUCCAGAACUGCCUUCGAUACUGGCGAUCUCGAGUUCGGGAGAGGAGCGUGGAAUUCCCAGUGUAGAGGUGAAAUUCGUAGAUAUUGGGAAGAACACCGGUGGCGAAGGCGGCGCUCUGGACCGAGACUGACGCUGAGGCGCGAAAGCGUGGGGAGCAAACAGG
rnacentral:rRNA from 1 species